rnacentral:rRNA from 1 species
UGGGGAAUAUUGCACAAUGGGCGCAAGCCUGAUGCAGCCAUGCCGCGUGUAUGAAGAAGGCCUUCGGGUUGUAAAGUACUUUCAGCGGGGAGGAAGGCGAUAAGGUUAAUAACCUUGUCGAUUGACGUUACCCGCAGAAGAAGCACCGGCUAACUCCGUGCCAGCAGCCGCGGGAAUACGGAGGGUGCAAGCGUUAAUCGGAAUUACUUGGCGUAAAGCGCACGCAGGCGGUCUGUCAAGUCGGAUGUGAAAUCCCCGGGCUCAACCUGGGAACUGCAUUCGAAACUGGCAGGCUAGAGUCUUGUAGAGGGGGGUAGAAUUCCAGGUGUAGCGGUGAAAUGCGUAGAGAUCUGGAGGAAUACCGGUGGCGAAGGCGGCCCCCUGGACAAAGACUGACGCUCAGGUGCGAAAGCGUGGGGAGCAAACA